GGCUCAGAACGAACGCUGGCGGCAUGCCUAACACAUGCAAGUCGAACGGCAGCAUGAGGGAGCUUGCUCUCUUGAUGGCGAGUGGCGGACGGGUGAGGAAUGCAUCGGAAUCUGCCCAGUCGUGGGGGAUAACCCGGGGAAACCCGGACUAAUACCGCAUACGACCUUCGGGUGAAAGCGGGGGACCCUUCGGGGCCUCGCGCGAUUGGAUGAGCCGAUGCCGGAUUAGCUUGUUGGCGGGGUAAUGGCCCACCAAGGCGACGAUCCGUAGCUGGUCUGAGAGGAUGAUCAGCCACACUGGGACUGAGACACGGCCCAGACUCCUACGGGAGGCAGCAGUGGG
rnacentral:rRNA from 1 species